rnacentral:piRNA from 1 species
UACUCAUGAUCUGUUUCACUGGAGGAUGC